CAUACUUGCUCAAUGGUAGAGCGAUCGUAUUUUAACGAUAAGUGUAGGUUCAAUUCCUGCGGUGUUACCA
rnacentral:tRNA from 1 species